AUCUCGGAGCAAGUUCGGUGGACUCAAGAUGAAGGCUGCCCUCAUUUGUGUUCUUGUCGCGCUGUUCGUCUCUGCUGAGUCGGCCAGGGGAUCUCGGGGAAAGGAAAGGACGAUCCAAUGCCGGGAUAUAGAGAUGGAAAUCAUCUGCACACACGAAGACCUGCGGCAGCACUGUGAAGUCCCUAAAAAAGCAUGCAAACGCGCAAAGGUUCAGUAUUACAGUGAAACGCCCAGUCUGACCGUGAACCAGAACACCAAUAGAGAAAAUUCUGGAUACAAGUAUGAGCAGAUCUACGGUUGAUGGUCCAAGCCGAUUCUUCAGCCUAUCUGGUCACCGAUGGACGAUUCCUGAGGAAUGAAGGCGCAAGUCGAUGGAGCGUUCUGAGCGGAGCGGGCGAGAUAUCCUUCAGUCCAGCGGUCUCCCAAUGAGCGACCCGCUACGGAUUGUCGAUCGAGAGGUCAAUCAUCUCCUUAAUGAAACAUUCUUGAAACUCAAGUGACACGGGCUUCUAGCGUUCAUGUUCAACUCACAGAGCGACGCAUCAAUUCAUCAACUCACGCGUUCGUGUAAUUCCGCUGCUAUGGAGUCCGCGAGAUAUUAAUAAAUAUCGUUGAUCGCCGCAAAA